UGGGGAAUAUUGGACAAUGGGCGGAAGCCUGAUCCAGCCAUGCCGCGUGUGUGAAGAAGGCCUUUUGGUUGUAAAGCACUUUAAGCGAGGAGGAGGCUACUUGGAUUAAUACUCUAGGAUAGUGGACGUUACUCGCAGAAUAAGCACCGGCUAACUCUGUGCCAGCAGCCGCGGUAAUACAGAGGGUGCGAGCGUUAAUCGGAUUUACUGGGCGUAAAGCGUGCGUAGGCGGCUUCUAAAGUCGGAUGUGAAAUCCCUGAGCUUAACUAGGAAAUUGCAUUCAAUACUGGGAAGCUAGAGUAUGGGGGAGGUUGUAGGAAUUCCGGGUGUAGCGUUGAAAUGCGUAGAGAUCUGGAGGAAUACCGAUGGCGAAGGCAGCCAUCUGGCCUAAUACUGACGCUGAGGUACGAAAGCAUGGGGAGCAAACAGG
rnacentral:rRNA from 1 species